rnacentral:rRNA from 1 species
CCAGCAGCCCGGGUAAUACGGAGGGUGCAAGCGUUAAUCGGAAAUUACUGGGCGUAAAGCGCACGCAGGCGGUUUGUUAAGUCAGAUGUGAAAUCCCCGGGCCCUUUUCUGGGAACUGCAUCUGAUACUGGCAAGCUUGAGUCUCGCAUAGGGGGGUAGAAUUCCAGGUGUAGCGGUGAAAUGCGUAGAGAUCUGGAGGAAUACCGGUGGCGAAGGCGGCCCCCUGGACGAAGACUGACGCUCAGGUGCGAAAGCGUGGGGAGCAAACAGGAUUAGAUACCCUGGUA